CAGUCGCCGCGGUAACACGGAGGGGGCUAGCGUUGUUCGGAAUUACUGGGCGUAAAGCGCACGUAGGCGGCUUGGUAAGUUAGAGGUGAAAGCCUGGAGCUCAACUCCAGAAUUGCCUUUAAGACUGCCGAGCUAGCAGGUGAGAGAGGUAAGUGGAAUUCCGAGUGUAGAGGUGAAAUUCGUAGAUAUUCGGAAGAACACCAGUGGCGAAGGCGGCUUACUGGCUCAUACUGGACGCUGAGGUGCGAAAGCGUGGGGAGCAAACAGGAUUAGAUACCCCUGUAGUCCCUGUCUCUUAUAC
rnacentral:rRNA from 1 species